rnacentral:sRNA from 1 species
AUACAUGUUAAAUUAUUUUAGUUUUCUUUUUUAAAGGAGAUGAAUUUAAUUCGGUGUGGAUCCCGUCUCUAGAAAAUAUAGGGUCUUUGGGCUUGAACUUCCAAAUAUUCGAAUAACAAAAAAAAUUAUUUUAGUU